GCGAUCUCUUCUUCGUUCGGGGGCUUGAAAAAUCUCGGAGACGGAGUCAAGUAAAAGCGAACGAUUUUCCAAGUAUUAGAAGAUUAGGAUCGAGGGUCUAAACUCUAAUCGUCGUAGAAAGACACGAUCAGCCGUGACUAGCACCAUACGAGUCCAUAAUCUACAAGCACGAACUAGUGACAAACGCAGACGGCUAAAUCUACCGGACCACUACCAGAACACCAACCAGAAAUUUUCUAUAUUCCUCGUCGUCCUAGUCGUUCUAGUCGUCCUAGUCAGUCGUCCUAGUCGUCGUCAGGUGGCUUUAUUCGAGAGAGAUUAUAGCACGAUCGAGGUAAUGCUGCUUUGUUAUUACCGUAUGCCGUGCGUUCGAGAAGGCCUUAAUGUCGCCACGGCAC